CAGUCGCCGCGGUAAUACAGAGGGUGCGAGCGUUAAUCGGAUUUACUGGGCGUAAAGCGUGCGUAGGCGGCUUCUUAAGUCGGAUGUGAAAUCCCUGAGCUUAACUUAGGAAUUGCAUUCGAUACUGGGAAGCUAGAGUAUGGGAGAGGAUGGUAGAAUUCCAGGUGUAGCGGUGAAAUGCGUAGAGAUCUGGAGGAAUACCGAUGGCGAAGGCAGCCAUCUGGCCUAAUACUGACGCUGAUGUACGAAAGCAUGGGGAGCAAACAGGAUUAGAUACCCGCGUAGUCCCUGUCUCUUAUAC
rnacentral:rRNA from 1 species